rnacentral:rRNA from 1 species
GAUGAACGCUGGCGGCGUGCCUAAUACAUGCAAGUCGAGCGAGCAGACGAGGAGCUUUGUCCUCUGACUUUAUCAGCGGACGGGUGAGUAACACGGGGAUGACCUACCUAUAAGACUGGGAUAACUUCGGGAAACCGGAGCUAAUACCGAAUAAUAUAUUGAACCACAUGGUUCAAUAGUGGAAUACGGUUUUGCUGUGACUAAUAGAUGGAUCAGCGCCGCAUUAGCUAGUUGGUAAGGUAACGGCUUACCAAGGCAAGGAUGCGUAGCCGACCUGAAAGCGUGAUCGGACACCCUGGAACUGAGACACGGCACAGACUCCUACGGGAGGACGCAGUCGGGACUCUUACGCAAUGGGCGAAAGGCUGACGUAGCAAAGCCGGGGGAGUGAUGAAGGUCUUCGGCUCGUAAAGCUAUGUUAUUAGGGAAGAAGAAAUGUGUAAGUAACUAUGAACGUAUUGACGGUACCUAAUCAGAAAGCCACGGCUAACUCCGUG